rnacentral:rRNA from 2 species
UACGUAGGGUGCGAGCGUUAAUCGGAAUUACUGGGCGUAAAGCGUGCGCAGGCGGUUUUGUAAGCCAGAUGUGAAAUCCCCGGGCUCAACCUGGGAAUGGCAUUUGGGACUGCAAGGCUGGAGUGUGGCAGAGGAGACUGGAAUUCCUGGUGUAGCAGUGAAAUGCGUAGAUAUCAGGAGGAAUACCGAUGGCGAAGGCAGGUCUCUGGGCUAACACUGACGCUCAUGCACGAAAGCGUGGGGAGCAAACAGG